rnacentral:rRNA from 1 species
ACGUUAGCGGCGGACGGGUGAGUAACACGUGGGUAACCUACCUAUAAGACUGGGAUAACUUCGGGAAACCGGAGCUAAUACCGGAUAAUAUUUCGAACCGCAUGGUUCGAUAGUGAAAGGUGGUUUUGCUAUCACUUAUAGAUGGACCCGCGCCGUAUUAGCUAGUUGGUAAGGUAACGGCUUACCAAGGCGACGAUACGUAGCCGACCUGAGAGGGUGAUCGGCCACACUGGAACUGAGACACGGUCCAGACUCCUACGGGAGGCAGCAGC